rnacentral:rRNA from 1 species
ACAGGGAUUGCCCUAGUAACGGCGAGUGAAGCGGCAACAGCUCAAAUUUGAAAUCUGGCGUCUUUGGCGUCCGAGUUGUAAUUUGCAGAGGGCGCUUUGGCAUUGGCAGCGGUCCAAGUUCCUUGGAACAGGACGUCACAGAGGGUGAGAAUCCCGUACGUGGUCGCUAGCCUUUACCGUGUAAAGCCCCUUCGACGAGUCGAGUUGUUUGGGAAUGCAGCUCUAAAUGGGAGGUAAAUUUCUUCUAAAGCUAAAUACUGGCCAGAGACCGAUAGCGCACAAGUAGAGUGAUCGAAAGAUGAAAAGCACUUUGGAAAGAGAGUUAAAAAGCACGUGAAAUUGUUGAAAGGGAAGCGCUUGCAGCCAGACUUGCCUGUAGUUGCUCAUCCGGGUUUUUACCCGGUGCACUCUUCUAUAGGCAGGCCAGCAUCAGUUUGGGCGGUUGGAUAAAGGUCUCUGUCAUGUACCUCUCUUCGGGGAGAACUUAUAGGGGAGACGACAUGCAACCAGCCUGGACUGAGGUCCGCGCAUCUGCUAGGAUGCUGGCGUAAUGGCUGUAAGCGGCCCGUCUUGAAACACGGACCAAGGAGUCUAACAUCUAUGCGAGUGUUUGGGUGUCAAGCCCGAGCGCGUAAUGAAAGUGAACGGAGGUGGGAACCUUUCGGGGUGCACCAUCGACCGAUCCUGAUGUCUUCGGAUGGAUUUGAGUAAGAGCAUAGCUGUUGGGACCCGAAAGAUGGUGAACUAUGCUUGAAUAGGGUGAAGCCAGAGGAAACUCUGGUGGAGGCUCGCAGCGGUUCUGACGUGCAAAUCGAUCGUCAAAUUUGGGCAUAGGGGCGAAAGACUAAUCGAACUAUCUAGUAGCUGGU